rnacentral:sRNA from 1 species
AGGAUGCGCGGGGACGCGCCACCGCCCUCCGCGCCCAGUUCCGCCGGCGCUUCCCCGGAGGCUCCCGGGCGCUGACUCUCCCGGGCUUUUCCGCCUUUCUUGCUCCUGCCCCGCCGGGCGGUUCGGCGGCCAGUCCUUGGACCCCACCGGGAGCUGCUCCUCUCACCCUCGCCACGGCGCGGACAAUAAGUUAAUGCAUCGCCCUUGAGUGAAGGGGGCGGCUGGGCGCCUCGGUGGCAGCUUUCUCGCCUGGCUGGAGACGACCACAACCGACAUGGGCUGUUUCUGCGCUGUUCCGGAAGAAUUUUACUGCGAAGUUUUGCUCCUGGAUGAAUCCAAGUUAACCCUUACCACCCAGCAGCAGGGCAUCAAGAAGUCAACGAAAGGUUCCGUUGUCCUUGACCACGUAUUCCAUCACAUAAACCUUGUGGAGAUAGAUUAUUUUGGGCUACGUUACUGUGACAGAAGCCAUCAGACGUAUUGGCUGGAUCCUGCAAAAACCCUUGCUGAACACAAAGAACUGAUUAACACUGGACCUCCAUAUACUUUGUAUUUUGGUAUUAAAUUCUAUGCUGAAGAUCCAUGUAAACUUAAAGAGGAAAUAACCAGAUAUCAGUUUUUCUUGCAGGUGAAGCAAGAUGUCCUUCAGGGCCGCCUGCCCUGUCCUGUCAACAUUGCUGCUCAGCUGGGAGCGUAUGCCAUCCAGUCGGAGCUUGGAGAUUAUGACCCAUAUAAACAUACUGCAGGAUAUGUAUCUGAGUACCGCUUUGUUCCUGAUCAGAAGGAAGAACUUGAAGAAGCCAUAGAAAGGAUUCAUAAAACUCUAAUGUAAGAAUCAUUACACCAUGUCUUAUUGCAUCAUCCAUCUGUCAUCAUCUUCUGAUAUUCACAAGAAAAGUUUCUAGAAUGAUAAAUUCUUCACCUGUGCAUUUAAUAUUCUGAUACUCCUCUUUGUAUAGCUUAACUGCUUUUAACUCUAAAAUGCUCAUCGAAAACUUCAGUAAUUUAAAAAGUGUAAAGGAGAAAGUAAUUUCAAUAUGUAAAGUUACCAUUUUUUGGUCAAUGGCCUUUCAGACAUCUCUUUGUAUGUACAAUUUCCCAGACAAAAUUUGUUGUACAUAGGUUCAUGUAUUUAUGAUAUUACAUAGUGGAAUCAUUCUGUAAAUACUAGAUUUUGCGGUCUUUUUUUUUCAGUCACCAGUAUCUUGUGAAAUUAAUCUUUCAGCUAUAAAUAUGUUUAAUCACAAUAAUUUUUAACCAUAAAUGCAUUAAUAUAUUCUUCAAUGUUUCCUCUGUCUGAAGUAUCCCAGUUCUUCACAGUUAUAAGCCAAGUCCUGUUCAGGCCAUAGCAAUGAGUCUGGAAAUAGUGAUGAUGCCAGUGUGAAACCUUUGAGGGUGUUGUGUUAACAUCGCAUGCAUUUCUGAGAGUAGGCAUGCUCCCCUAGUAGGAUUUUCAAUUCAUGGCCUAUAGCAUUGAAGUUAUAAUUUCAUUAUAGUUAUUUUGGUUAAAUUCUUUACACUGGUUAACAUUGCUUUAUUCCCUGUUAUGUAACACUCCCUCUUGAAUAUGCUUGGUUUCAGAUCUAUUAUAGUUAAGGAAAAAAAAAUGGCUGGGCGUGGUGGCUCACGCCUGCAAUCCCAGCACUUUGGGAGGCCGAGGCAGGUAGAUCACCUGAGGUCGGGAGUUUCAGAACAGCCUGGCCAAAAUGGUGAAAUCCCAUCUCUACUGAAAAUACAAAAAUUAGCCGCAUGUGGUGGCAUGUGCCUGUAAUCUCAGUUACUUGGGAGGCUGAGGCAGGAGAAUCGCUUGAACCCGGGAGGCAGAGGUUGCAGUGAGCUGAGAUCACGCCAUUGCACUCCAGCCUGGGCAACAAGAGUGAAACUCCAUCUCAAAAAAAAAAAAAGAAAACAAUGUAGAAUUAAUCUGGUCACAAAAAAAUGUUUGCGUAAAGGAUCCGUUUCAGUGAAUGUAGAAGCAGAAGUCAGCUGCUGAAUUGCAAUCAGAGGAAGAGGCCCUCUAUGUUGUAUUAGCAUGCACUAGAAGGCUCUCCAACCUGAUUGUAGAGUCCUUCAUUUUCAGAUUCUGCUGAAGUAGAUGCUCAGAGAGUGCUUGUUAUAACGUUAGGAAGGGGAAUGUGUUUGGCACAUUCUGAGAGUACUGAUUCUACUAGGGGUUUCAAAACACAAUUAUAUAUUGAAAUUAUCAAGGAUCUUUGGGUAAAGGUUCUCAUGUGUUUUAGAUGAUAGUGUUGACAUUGUGACUGUUAUUUCUAAGAAUAAAGCUUGAUCAAGGUGUGGUGUGUCUAAUUUGAU